rnacentral:piRNA from 1 species
UGUAUAAAAUGUCAUACUACAGAUUUGGAG